AUUCCCUCCAAUUGGGCCGGCCAAUUGGCUACAGAGGGCUAGCAGUGUGUUGCCAGCAUCGACACAUAUUAUUGGUCUAUUGUUUGUCAUUGUCAAUCAAUCAUGGGCUGACAGGCUCAGAGAGCCCUGACAGUGCUGUCAAUCACAACACAAACCAGGGUGGGGCGGGACCUCAUGGCAUCGGGCUGCUGCUGAGACAGAAACUUAAAAUGGAUAAUAAGAGUAAAAAACGCCCGGGUGGCGCUGAGAAGCAACGGAGAAAAAAGCUGAAGUCUCUGGAGGUGGAGGCUGCUCGAUGUGCCAAACUGACGGACCUGUUUGGUGCCGGGUUCACCGGCCCAGCAGCAGCAGGUGCUCCGGGAGACGAGCGAGGAGGACUCGACCAUGAUGAGCGAGUGGAGGCAGACAUGGUUGUUGUGAUAUAUUUGAGGAGUCGUUCGCCCCCUGUUUUAUAUGUGGACAUUUGGGACCACUGUUAGAAUUUGGUUGACCACUUGACAUGUGAGAGCCUGAGGAGUUGUUCCCCCUCUGUCCAUGUUCGAGGACUUGCCCUCUGUCUGCCUCCACUCUCUGCCUUCACUGUACCAAAGUUUGUCUGUUGAGUCUCCUCUAGUCUGGUUGACCACUUGACAUGUGAGAGCCUGAGGAGUUGUUUUCCAGACACAGGUAGAGCUGGCAGGGGCAGGGGCCCUCAGCCUUUGUUCUUCUUUGCUUCUGCACCUUACAACAUACAUCACACCUUAUUUUCACACAUCCAAACACUGUUAACACCACUGACGCGUAACAUAAUUUACACAUCCCACUACGUAGUUAGAGCUAUCUUGAUUUGGAGUUAAAUAAAUUUACUUUUGGCUUGA